GACGAACGCUGGCGGCGUGCUUAACACAUGCAAGUCGAACGGAAAGGCCCUGCUUUUGUGGGGUGCUCGAGUGGCGACCGGGUGAGUAACACGUGAGUAACCUGCCCUUGACUUUGGGAUAACUUCAGGAAACUGGGGCUAAUACCGGAUAGGAUCUCCUGCUGCAUGGUGGGGGUUGGAAAGUUUCGGCGGUUGGGGAUGGACUCGCGGCUUAUCAGCUUGUUGGUGGGGUAGUGGCUUACCAAGGCUUUGACGGGUAGCCGGCCUGGGAGGGUGACCGGCCACGUUGGGACUGAGAUACGGCCCAGACUCGUACGGGAGGCAGCAGUGGAGAAUAUUGCACAAUGGGCGGAAGCCUGAUGCAGCAACGCCGCGUGCGGGAUGACGGCCUUCGGGUUGUAAACCGCUUUCGCCUGUGACGAGGCGUGAGUGACGGUAAUGGGUAAAGAAGCACCGGCUAACUACGUG
rnacentral:rRNA from 1 species